rnacentral:rRNA from 1 species
AUUGAACGCUGGCGGCAUGCCUUACACAUGCAAGUCGAACGGCAGCAUGGAGAGCUUGCUCUCUGAUGGCGAGUGGCGAACGGGUGAGUAAUGCAUCGGAACGUACCGUGUAAUGGGGGAUAACGUAGCGAAAGUUACGCUAAUACCGCAUACGACCUGAGGGUGAAAGCAGGGGAUCGCAAGACCUUGCGUUAUACGAGCGGCCGAUGUCAGAUUAGCUAGUUGGUGAGGUAAGGGCUCACCAAGGCGACGAUCUGUAGCGGGUCUGAGAGGAUGAUCCGCAACGCUGGGACUGAGACACGGCCCGGACUCCUACGGGAGGCAGCAGUGGGGAAUUUUGGACAAUGGGGGCAACCCUGAUCCAGCCAUGCCGCGUGAGUGAAGAAGGCCUUCGGGUUGUAAAGCUCUUUCGGCCGGGAAGAAAUCGCACAGGCUAAUACUCUGUGUGGAUGACGGUACCGGCAUAAGAAGCACCGGCUAACUACGUGCCAGCAGCCGCCGUAA